CUAAGGAAUAUACGGAGGCUACACAUACUUUGUCGAAACAAUGGUCAGUUUUGAGAGGUCUACUCUCAAACUUGUUCUUUGAAAACUAGAUAUUAUCAAUUAUUUUCCUUUAAUUAUUAAGAUAAUUAAACCGAGAAACAACUGCGUACUUUUGAGUUUUUUAAUUAGUUUAUAUCGCUAAUACUCAAUUAAUCAGCGAUUACGAAGUAAUCGUUA
rnacentral:misc_RNA from 1 species